GGCCAGAUGGUGAAGUGGUUAACACGACGGUCUGCAAAACCGUUAUGCGCGGGUUCGACUCCCGCUCUGGCCUCCA
rnacentral:tRNA from 1 species